UCUAGCUGUAUGAGUGUUAUUAAGCCAUCAUAAAGCUAGAUAACCGAAAGUAGAAAUGACUUCCAACCCUUCCUGGAGCUGGGAAGCCAAUGGACCACGAGGGACGUGGAGCCAGACGCAGCACGGACCCUGGAGCAGAACAAGAUUAACCCCAGAUCAUCUCCGAUCUUCUGCCAAGGAUUCGCCGGAGUCCUUCCAGACCCAGACAUGACUGAAAGUUCAUGGAUUGGGAUGCAAUGGGAAGAGACAGGACAUCUCUGGGUGAGCAAGGAGAGAUAUGAAAUUGAGGAAAAAAAUACAUCUUGCUACCUGAAUGAUCUCGCUCUAUGUGGGAGGCCUGGAAUGGAAAAUGGAGGGUACAAGUCAGUGAGCCUUGGAGAGCCUGUGUGACAUUCUGCAGCAAAGAUAAAAAACUUCCCAUUCGGCACAAGGAGCACAGGAGAGAAAGGUGGAGAGUCGCUCCUCCCCGGUUAACCUCCCCUUCCCAGUCCCCUCUGGUAUUCUCCCCUCUCCACGAGACCAUCAACUCAGCGAGGGGCCCUCAACAAGCAAGAGCUGGAGGAGGAGGACAAAAAGAGAGGCAGAAAGAGGGAGAAGGGCAGCCCCUGUGA
rnacentral:lncRNA from 1 species